rnacentral:rRNA from 1 species
CAGCAGCCACGGGAAAACGGAGGGUGCAAGCGUUAUCCGGAUUUAUUGGGUUUAAAGGGUCCGUAGGCGGAUCUGUAAGUCAGUGGUGAAAUCUCACAGCUUAACUGUGAAACUGCCAUUGAUACUGCAGGUCUUGAGUAAAUUUGAAGUGGCUGGAAUAAGUAGUGUAGCGGUGAAAUGCAUAGAUAUUACUUAGAACACCAAUUGCGAAGGCAGGUCACUAAGAUUUAACUUACGCUGAUGGACGAAAGCGUGGGGAGCGAACAGGAUUAGAUACCCGGGUAGUCCCUGUCUCUUAUAC